CUUGAACGCUGGCGGCAGGCCUAACACAUGCAAGUCGGGCGAGGGGCGGACUGGCGAGUAAUGUAUGGGGAUAUGCCUGAGGGAGGGGGAAAACUUCUGAACACUGUCUCUAAUACCGUAUUCCAUCAGCUGAACCCAUAUGGGUUGAGCUUGUAGGUAAGGUAACGGCUUACCUAGGCGACGACCCCUAGCUGGUCUGAGAGGAUGAUCAGCCACACUGGGACUGAGACACGGCCCAGACUCCUACGGGAGGCAGCAGUGGGGAAUAUUGCACAAUGGGCGCAAGCCUGAUGCAGCCAUGCCGCGUGUAUGAAGAAGGCCUUCGGGUUGUAAAGUACUUUCAGUCGGGAGGCGUUACCGACAGAAGAAGCACCGGCUAACUCCGUGCCAGCAGCCGCGGUAAUAC
rnacentral:rRNA from 1 species